rnacentral:rRNA from 1 species
GUGUAACUGACGCUAAUGCUCGAAAGUGCGGGUAUCAAACAGGAUUAGAUACCCUGGUAGUCCGCACGGUAAACGAUGGAUGCCCGCUGUUUGCGAUAUACUGUGAGCGGCCAAGAGAAAUCGUUAAGCAUCCCACCUGGGGAGUACGCCGGCAACGGUGAAACUCAAAGGAAUUGACGGGGGCCCGCACAAGCGGAGGAACAUGUGGUUUAAUUCGAUGAUACGCGAGGAACCUUACCCGGGCUUGAACUGCAGGAGAACGAUACAGAGAUGUUGAGGUCCUUCGGGACUCCUGUGGAGGUGCUGCAUGGUUGUCGUCAGCUCGUGCCGUGAGGUGUCGGCUUAAGUGCCAUAACGAGCGCAACCCUUUUCGUCAGUUGCCAUCAGGUGAAGCUGGGCACUCUGGCGAUACUGCCACCGUAAGGUGUGAGGAAGGUGGGGAUGACGUCAAAUCAGCACGGCCCUUACGUCCGGGGCUACACACGUGUUACAAUGGGGAGUACAGAGAGUCGGCCGCACGCAAGUUCGGUCUAAUCAAGAAAGCUCUCCUCAGUUCGGAUUGGGGUCUGCAACCCGACCCCAUGAAGCUGGAUUCGCUAGU